rnacentral:sRNA from 1 species
AUUUUGAGAUCUUAACGUGCAUUAUUGGACGCAGGUAUCGUAAUUAACAGUAUAAACUUUAUCACCAGGAAAAUCUUAACUUCUGGCAUAAAAUGAGGAUGUUAAAAUACUGAGGAGGUAUACAAGUGGAUUAUAAGUGUCUUUGUGAAUUCCGGAAUAAAACAGCCGUCAAUAUCUUUAACAACAUUUCGCUGUACGCUCGAGGCCAGACCGUUGAUUAAAUUUGUGAUUUUAAUUACUUGUGCGGUGAACGGUAUCUAGGGGAGCCAGUGUGUAUUGCCAAGAAAUUAACAAGUUUUUUGUGAUAAAAUUUUAAUGGUGAUGAUAUACCAUUUUCCUUAAUAAAUGAUAUACACUUGU